rnacentral:tRNA from 1 species
GCCCAGUUGGUUAAGCAUCUGACUUCGGCUCAGGUCAUGAUCGCAGAAUUCGUGGGCUCAAACCCCGCAUUGGGCU